AGUGAACGCUGGCGGUAGGCCUAACACAUGCAAGUCGAACGGCAGCACAGUAAGAGCUUGCUCUUACGGGUGGCGAGUGGCGGACGGGUGAGGAAUACAUCGGAAUCUACUUUUUCGUGGGGGAUAACGUAGGGAAACUUACGCUAAUACCGCAUACGACCUACGGGUGAAAGCAGGGGAUCUUCGGACCUUGCGCGAUUGAAUGAGCCGAUGUCGGAUUAGCUAGUUGGCGGGGUAAAGGCCCACCAAGGCGACGAUCCGUAGCUGGUCUGAGAGGAUGAUCAGCCACACUGGAACGGAGACACGGUCCAGACGCCUACGAGAGGCAGCAGUGGGGAAUAUUGGACAGUGGUCGCAAGCCUGAUCCAGCCAUACCGCGUGGGUGAAGAAGGCCUUCGGGUUGUAAAGCCCUUUUGUUGGGAAAGAAAAGCAGCAGGUUAAGACCCCGCUGUUCUGACGGUACCCAAAGAAUAAGCACCGGCUAACUUCGUG
rnacentral:rRNA from 1 species